CGGAGUUAAUAUGCCAAGCCUCCAAACAAAGGCGCUGGUGGUCACACCAUGAAAUCAUAAAUUUACGAAUCUGUAAAGAUGCCGUAAAGAGGCAUGGAAAUGAGCCAAGUAUUCCAGAAAAAAGGAUAACCAACCGCCUCAGGAGCUUCAACGAGUGCCGCUGUGGUAGACCGCAAGAAGAGCACCGGUAGCUGCUUG